CCCUUAUGAUGCCAUUCAUGUGGGAGCUGCAGCCCCUGUUGUACCCCAGGCGCUAAUAGAUCAGUUAAAGCCCGGAGGAAGAUUGAUAUUGCCUGUUGGUCCUGCAGGCGGAAACCAAAUGUUGGAGCAGUAUGACAAGCUACAAGAUGGCAGCAUCAAAAUGAAGCCUCUGAUGGGGGUGAUAUACGUGCCUUUAACAGAUAAAGAAAAGCAGUGGUCCAGGGAUGAAUUGUAAAAGCAACAUCAGCUUGACCAGUAUAAAAUUACAGUGGAUUGCUCAUCUCAGUCCUCAAAGCUUUUUGAAAACCAACACCAUCACAGCUUGUUUUGGACUUUGUUACACUGUUAUUUUCAGCAUGAAAAUGUGUGUUUUUUUAGGGUUUCUGAUUCUUCAAAGAGGCACAGAGCCAAAUUGGUAGAGGAAGGAUGCAAAGUAUAAAUUUGUGUAAUAUUACUUUAACAUGCCCAUAUUUUACUUGGAAAUAUUAAAAGAAAGGGUUCUGUAAAAUGGAAAACUUAGUUUGUGAAUUGAUUUUGAGGAGUGGUUUUUCUUUUCUUGGACACUUAAUUCUGUUCUGAUAUUAAUUUAUCAGAUUGCUUUUGUGCAUUGGAUAACACCACCAUUCACAAGUUAAGAUUCUUGGUAUUUGGAUAUCUGUUAGAUGCUACUAAGAAAAUAGAGAUGAGCUUUCUUUUUAAAGCUUUUGAUGUGGUGUCAUAGAAUAGCAUGUUGUAGAUACAAUCAGCUGCUUUGUUACCUUAAAACUAGGCAUUUGUAAAUAUUAAACCAUAAGAUGGCAGGUGAUGUCCUGUAAACACUCAGCUGUUCAGAUUGGACAUAACUGACUUAGUUCUUCCCUUCUCUCUCUCUCAAAAUUAUAGGAGACUUGUAGUUUAGUGUGGUUUUCUGUUUCUAAUUUGCUGCUGAUAAUGUAUAUGAACUUAACAUGCUGUGUAAGCUGUGUCCUAGUUCUUGAACAGUUUAUGCAGUGCUGCUUUGCCAAAUAAAGUUAAAAGUAA
rnacentral:lncRNA from 1 species